GGGCCUAAUAACAUGCAAGUCGAGCGGACAGAUGGGAGCUUGCUCCCUGAUGUUAGCGGCGGACGGGUGAGUAACACGUGGGUAACCUGCCUGUAAGACUGGGAUAACUCCGGGAAACCGGGGCUAAUACCGGAUGGUUGUUUGAACCGCAUGGUUCAAACAUAAAAGGUGGCUUCGGCUACCACUUACAGAUGGACCCGCGGCGCAUUAGCUAGUUGGUGAGGUAACGGCUCACCAAGGCAACGAUGCGUAGCCGACCUGAGAGGGUGAUCGGCCACACUGGGACUGAGACACGGCCCAGACUCCUACGGGAGGCAGCAGUAGGGAAUCUUCCGCAAUGGACGAAAGUCUGACGGAGCAACGCCGCGUGAGUGAUGAAGGUUUUCGGAUCGUAAAGCUCUGUUGUUAGGGAAGAACAAGUACCGUUCGAAUAGGGCGGUACCUUGACGGUACCUAACCAGAAAGCCACGGCUAACUACGUGCCAGCAGCCGCGGUAAUACGUAGGUGGCAAGCGUUGUCCGGAAUUAUUGGGCGUAAAGGGCUCGCAGGCGGUUUCUUAAGUCUGAUGUGAAAGCCCCCGGCUCAACCGGGGAGGGUCAUUGGAAACUGGGGAACUUGAGUGCAGAAGAGGAGAGUGGAAUUCCACGUGUAGCGGUGAAAUGCGUAGAGAUGUGGAGGAACACCAGUGGCGAAGGCGACUCUCUGGUCUGUAACUGACGCUGAGGAGCGAAA
rnacentral:rRNA from 1 species